rnacentral:rRNA from 1 species
GAUAAACGCUGGCGGCGUGCAUGAGACAUGCAAGUCGAACGAACGAGCUUGCUCGUUAGUGGCGAACGGCUGAGUAACGCGUAGGUGACCUGCCCUGAAGUGGGGGAUAACGGCCCGAAAGGGUUGCUAAUACCGCAUGUGGCGACGUGUUCAUUCACGUCAUCAAAGCCGCGAGGCGCUUCAGGAGGGGCCUGCGUCCGAUUAGCUCGUUGGUGGGGUAACGGCUCACCAAGGCGACGAUCGGUAGGUGGUCAGAGAGGACGAUCACCCAGACUGGGACUGAGACACGGCCCAGACUCCUACGGGAGGCAGCAGUCGGGAAUUUUGCUCAAUGGGGGAAACCCUGAAGCAGCAACGCCGCGUGCGGGAUGAAGGCCUUCGGGUUGUAAACCGCUUUUAUCAGGGACGAUGAUGACGGUACCUGAUGAAUAAGUCACGGCUAACUACGUGCCAGCAGCCGCCGUAAUAC